UAUGAAGCCUAGCGAUUAUAAAGUUAGUGGCGGACGGGUGAGUAACGCGUGAGGAACCUGCCUUUCAGAGGGGGACAACAGUUGGAAACGACUGCUAAUACCGCAUAACACAUAGGUGUCGCAUGGCACUUAUGUCAAAGAUUUAUCGCUGAAAGAUGGCCUCGCGUCUGAUUAGAUAGUUGGCGGGGUAACGGCCCACCAAGUCGACGAUCAGUAGCCGGACUGAGAGGUUAAACGGCCACAUUGGGACUGAGACACGGCCCAGACUCC
rnacentral:rRNA from 1 species